UGUCUUAGCCCAUUUGAUGGUUUCAGAAUACAGACCAAUUGGGGCCAAGUAACAGGUUCUACUUCAGGAUUUGAAGAGAGUCAUAUGUUUGGGCCGCCUGACAGUCCAGCCCGAGUUAAUCCAGAGAAUAAAGGAAGCCCAGACAGUUGACCCUGCCCUGAUAGCCCACAAAAAGGAUGCAAAACAGGGAGGGAGCUCAAAAUUCUGAAUCUCUGCCGAUG
rnacentral:lncRNA from 1 species